UACGUAGGGUGCGAGCGUUAAUCGGAAUUACUGGGCGUAAAGCGUGCGCAGGCGGUUUCGUAAGCCAGAUGUGAAAUCCCCGGGCUUAACCUGGGAACUGCAUUUGGGACUGCGAGGCUAGAGUACGGCAGAGGGAGGUGGAAUUCCACGUGUAGCAGUGAAAUGCGUAGAUAUGUGGAGGAACACCGAUGGCGAAGGCAGCCUCCUGGGCUAGUACUGACGCUCAUGCACGAAAGCGUGGGGAGCAAACAGG
rnacentral:rRNA from 1 species